GCCUCAUCUCCAUUGUCGAUCUCCGUCUCGUUCCCUAUGGAAACGCUAUGAUUGGGCCCAACUCCACUAUCUCAUGCCAGCAUGGGCCGUCUGAAUGCUUUCUGAACACUGUGGAAGCUUGUGCUAUUUAUUCCUGGCCGGACGUGGUAAUGCAUCAUCUUACUAUGAUGAAAUUCCCUGUUACUAGCACACAUCUAUAGUAUGAAGAUUAUAUAAGCAACGACAUUUCAGUUUCAUAUAUUG